CACGCCACUUCACUCCAGCCUGGGUGACGGAACGAGACUCUGUCUCCAAAGAAAAAAAAAAAAGGAACUGAUUGCAGGACAGGAUCUGGCCUCUCUCUGCCCAGCCUCUUCCAUUUCCUGCUUUUCACUCUCUCUGGCUGAUUUCAGUCUGAGUAAAGCCAGGAAGGAGCCCUGCUAUGCCCCAGGGAAGGUCACUGCAGCUGCUACCUCGUGAACUACCUCCAUUCCCUACCUGUGCCCACCGAGGGCUCCAAGCCACCCUAUGUUUGGCUUCAGGACCCGGCUUUCAUGCCUCAGUUCUGCUACUUAAUUUUUGAGGUUUUUCGCCCAAGACAUUAAAACUCUAAGCCUCAGUUUCCCCACAUGCAAAAUGGGGAAAAUCAUUUCUGUUCUGCCAACUUCAGGGCUUUUGUGAGGCUCACGUGAGAUGAGUACAUGGUCUUACUUCUGAAACUAUGCAUCAGUGUAGAGAAAUCUUAUCAUAAUAAUUUUAUAAUUAUUUUUGUUUCCCUCGGGGGUCUUACUGUCAACCCAUUCUGAUCUCUGUCAGCCGCUGUCUUCCAGGAUCCAUUUUUUUCUACCCAACCUCUCCACUAUUCAACCCUCUUGACCACAUCCUCCUGGAUACCCCAUCCUCCUUCAGCUUCCUAGACUCACUCUCUUUUUUUUUUUUUUUUUUUUUUUUUUGAGACAGAGCCUUGUUUUGUUGCCUAGGCUGGAGUGCAGUGGCACAAUCUUAGCUCACUGCAACCUCCACCUCCCGAGUUCAAGUGAUUCUUCUGCCUCAGCCUCCCAAGUAGCUGAGAUUACAGGCACGCACAACCACGCCCAGCUAAUUUUUGUAUUUUCAGUAGAGACGGGGUUUUGCCAUGUUGACUAGGCUGGUCUCGAACUCCUGACCUCAGGUGAUCUGCCCGCCUUGGCCUCCCAGCAUCCUGGGAUUACAGUCGUGAACCACCGCACCCAGCCGCUAGGCUCACUCUCUCUGGAAUCUCCUCCUCCAUCUCAGACCACUCACUCUCUGAGUUAGACCCAUGCUUUUCCCUGCCAUUCAUAUCUGUCAGCCACACAGGGUUUCAGAGAGGAACCCCAGGAAGCACGUGCACACCCCCAAAGUCUCUUGUGGAUGUCUGUGUGGGGUUGCCCUGUGGCACAAAAUUUGAACAGAAGGCAAUGGGUCUCCACCCCACUGCCAUCACUGCCUCUGCCUCCUGAGACUCUGUUUGGCAAUGAAAACUGGCAUAAUGGCUGCUAAAGCCCAAGCCUUGGAAACUCUCAUGGCCGGGUCUGAUUGCACGUGACAGAGGUCUGUGGUCUCCUCGCCACAUUUGGACAAGCUGAGCCAAUCAGCUCUUUGGCUGGAGAUUUAGACAGCAGAUAUUCACUUCUUCUUUUUAGAACUGAAAGGACUUUUAGAAGUAAUUCUGGGUUGCCAGGCAUGGUGGCUCACACCUACCAUCCCAGCUACUCAGGGGGCUGAGGUGGGAGGAUCACUUGAGCCCAGGAGUUCUGGGCUGCAGUGUACUAUGCAGAUAGAUCAGGUGUCUGCACUAAGUUUGGCAUCAAUAUGGUGAUCUCCUGGGAGUGGGGAACCACCAGGUUGCCUAAGGAGGGGUAAACUGACUUAGGUUGGAAAUGGAGCAGGAUAAAACUCCCGUGCUGAUUGGUAAUGAGAUCACAUCUGUGAAUAGCCACUGUACCCCAGCCUGGGCAACAAAGCAAGACCUCAUCUUUUACAAAUAAAGGAAGAAAGAAAGAAAAGAAAGAAACCUGGGUUGAGCAUACUACGUGAUGACCCCUUUGCCUUCAGCGCAUGGACCAAAUCUACAUCAUUCUUUUUUUUUUUUUUUUUUUUGAGACAGAGCCUUGCUCUGUCACUCAGGCUGGAGUGCAGUGGUGCCAUCUCAGCUCACUGCAAUCUCCACCUCCCGGGUUCAAGCAAUUCUCAUGCCUCAGCCUCCCAAGUAGCUGGGAUUACAGGAUUACCA
rnacentral:lncRNA from 1 species